rnacentral:lncRNA from 1 species
UCGCGCGUUUGUCAAUCAAAUUGACUGAUGUGUAUGUGUACAUAGAGUGAGGUUAAUUUUGGGUUUAUUAUUGUUGAAUAGAUAAGUUUAUUUUGGCAGAGAAGAGAAAACGAGGAUAAACCUUUCUUGCAGAAGAAAAAGAUAAGCUAGGAAAUUGCUGACGUCUCAUAGAGACACAAUAUUGAACAAAAAACGGAUGGGACCACGAACGAAGCCAAAAACAAAGCUUGGAUCCAGUCACAAAUAGUUUUAAUGCGACAGGAACCCUUUACAGUUUCAGGUGGUGCGAGAAAUUGGAAAGACGUGUAAAAACAUCCUGCGCCCAGCCCACCUCAAAUUGAAUUGGUGCAGGAGGAUGAUGAUACUGUUUGGUACAUCAUAUGAGGACUAAUAUUAAAAUAUUUGUUUAC